rnacentral:rRNA from 1 species
GAUGAACGCUGGCGGCGUGCCUAAUACAUGCAAGUCGAACGCAUUGUGGUUGAAAUGAUAUGAAGAACUUGUUCAGAUUUGAUUUUCAACAUUGCAAUGAGUGGCGAACGGGUGAGUAACACGUGGGAAACCUACCUCUUAGCAGGGGAUAACAUUUGGAAACAAAUGCUAAUACCGUAUAAUAAUUAAAACCGCAUGGUUUUAGUUUAAAAGAUGGUCUUGCUAUCACUAAGAGAUGGUCCCGCGGUGUAUUAGCUAGUUGGUGAGGUAAUGGCUCACCAAGACAAUGAUACAUAGCCGAGUUGAGAGACUGACCGGCCACAAUGGGACUGAGACACGGCCCAUACUCCUACGGGAGGCAGCAGUAGGGAAUCUUCCACAAUGGACGAAAGUCUGAUGGAGCAACGCCGCGUGUGUGAUGAAGGUUUCGGCUCGUAAACACUGUUGUAAGAGAAGAAUGACAUUGAGAGUAAUUGUUCAA